rnacentral:lncRNA from 1 species
AGCGCAUACACCGGCACAUGCUCCGACAGCGACAGUGAAUGUUUAAAAAAAGAUGACGGGAUGAGAGGGGAAAAGAAUCUCCUGUUCACCCUAACAAUGACAGGAGGUGAAUAGAGAUGUCAUGAUCUGUGAUGCGGGUUCUAGUGUCAUACAUCUGCUGUCCCACCAAAUAGUCUGUAUUCGUCUGUUCGAUUCUAUUCUGAGGCAAUUCUCUUCUUCUGACGUUGUCUUCCACCUAUCACAGUGUUACACGGAGAUCGGCCCAUGUAUCUCUCUCACACUGAGGGCCGCUGAGAGGGUCCGUUUGACUUCAGCUGUUGAACUACAGUAUAGAAUAAGAUCCAGUGAGCAGCUCCGUUUAUAGUAUUUUAUUUUACCCAGAAUUCACUAGUGUCUAUGUUUUGUUUUUACCAUCUCUUUAAGUAAUUUUUAAUUAUUGUUUCUAUUGUAUUUUAUUUUAUUUUAUUCUAGAUUUUACUUUUAUUUGAAUAAAAUACUUCAACUGCAC